GGGGAAUUUUGGACAAUGGGCGCAAGCCUGAUCCAGCAAUGCCGCGUGCAGGAUGAAGGCCUUCGGGUUGUAAACUGCUUUUGUACGGAGCGAAAAAGUUCUUUCUAAUAAAGAGAGCUCAUGACGGUACCGUAAGAAUAAGCACCGGCUAACUACGUGCCAGCAGCCGCGGUAAUACGUAGGGUGCAAGCGUUAAUCGGAAUUACUGGGCGUAAAGCGUGCGCAGGCGGUGAUGUAAGACAGAUGUGAAAUCCCCGGGCUCAACCUGGGACCUGCAUUUGUGACUGCAUCGCUAGAGUGCGGUAGAGGGGGAUGGAAUUCCGCGUGUAGCAGUGAAAUGCGUAGAUAUGCGGAGGAACACCGAUGGCGAAGGCAAUCCCCUGGACCUGUACUGACGCUCAUGCACGAAAGCGUGGGGAGCAAAC
rnacentral:rRNA from 1 species